GCCACUGCUGAGGCGUCGCCCUGACAGGUCCCGACCAGAUGGACCACUUCUCACCCUGGACGCUUUUAGUGGAUUAAUUUCCCUGUUAUUUAGGACACAACACUUUGAACAACGAGGACUAUUUUCCAUUGUCUAACUUCUUCAAAAGACUUGUUAAGGAGCAGCUUUGAAAUAGCUCCAGAUGGCUGCUCAGGGUGUGCACCGUGGUGAGCUGUGGGUAGCCAAAGUAGUAAGCAGCUUUGAUGAUGAGGACUCCUGUUAUCCUGAAGAUCAUUUUGACUGAUGGCAGCCCUCAGAGUCCAGGGUCUACUACACCUCUUGAUCAAUUUCACAGGACAGGAACAUGACGUUGCCCUGUUAUCCACUGCAGAAAUGAUUUUGGAGACAAUGAGGGAGGUGCAGCUUUCUCAAUCCCCGAUUCAGUUUCAUCUGAAAUUAGAGAAUUGGACAUUUCCUCAAACCUUGUAAACAUUGAGGUACGGCGAAGGUUCAUCCUUCGCCAGAGGAGACAAUGUUGUCAUAACUCCACUGUGCAUUGUCCUAUCACCACCAAACUUCUGUCUCAUGAUCAAAGUCCAAGCCUGAACAGCCUAUGUGUCAAUAUUUCCUGAUUCAUUAUACAUUUUUUUUCAGGCAAAAUUAUGCAACACUUCAAAAUGCAUGUGCUCAGGCCAGCUCAGUGCUGCUUUGCAGUCCAACAUUUUUUUGAAAUUGUAUUUAUAUUUAGAGCCUGAGCACUGACAGUGAGAGUCCCUAUUGAAAUUGUAAUGAUUAUUAUUAAUAGGGCCCGAGCACAUGCAUUUUGAAGUGUUGCAUCGUUUUGCCGGAUUUCUGUUCCCCGGAGUGAGUAGUAACUAUACAAGUGUUUUUAUGCUGAGUAGUACUCCACAUACUACUAUACUGAUAUGUAUGUGUACAGUGGGUUCCCUUUAAUAUGAUACAGAUCCAUAGAUACUUUUGAUGUGGUGGAAUUUAAUUUCGAUUGAUUGUUGAUUCAUAAAAAAUAUAUUUUGGAUUCUGUUUUGCAACGUCAGCUGUUCUGAGAGGCCGAUGUUUGCUGGAAAAAAUUAUAAAACAAUAUUUUAUAAAUGGAAAGGGUUGACACCACUUUUAUA